UACGGAGGGUGCAAGCGUUAUCCGGAUUCACUGGGCUUAAAGGGUGCGUAGGCGGAUUAGUAAGUCCGUGGUGAAAUCUCCGAGCUUAACUCGGAAACUGCCGUGGAUACUAUUAAUCUUGAAUACUGUGGAGGUUAGCGGAAUAUGUCAUGUAGCGGUGAAAUGCAUAGAUAUGACAUAGAACACCAAAUUGCGAAGGCAGCUGGCUACACAGAGAUUGACGCUGAGGCACGAAAGCGUGGGGAUCAAAACAGG
rnacentral:rRNA from 1 species